UCCUCCUUUUCUACAAUUUGAAGUUUUUCUUACACCACGCAACGAGAAAUCCAAUGGAGCAUAUGCAAUCAGUAUGGAAAGUACAGCAGCGACAAGCCAAAUAUCGCGUGAAAUAUUUCACGGAAAUGCGCUUAUACCACUGUGUUGAGAAUCGUGGAUAGCAGGCAGCACUAAUAUCACUAUUGGAUAUCAGUAGCGGGGAGGUAGAACGAAGAAAACAACACUCAAACCUAAAGGCUCCACGGAUAUGUAAAAACCAGCGUCUGAAAUAUUACACAUAACGCACCGCUGAGACAGUACAAUGAGGGAGUUCAAUGAAAUAAUGCCAAAUCUCAAGGAUGUGUCCUGGAGGCAAGAACCAAAAAUGUUUGUGGAUUUACUAGACGAGCGACGAAAUAAAAGUGAUGUAGCCUGGACAUUUCGUACAUUGAAUACAGUUGCUCCCCACAAAUUACCUACUGGUCGCCAAUAUUCUAUCCACCAAAUUAUCAAUGCUGUUCUCACAAAUCCAAGGGUGGUUCUUUUAACUGAAUCUCUGGCCUCACUUAGAAAUGUUCCCGUUGCCACCCUUAGAAAUGAAGCUCGUGAUAUGCUGAAUGAGAUGGCGGGUAGACCUCAGUUGCCAACCAUUCGUUGCCUAGGUGUACUGGUGACGAAAGCCUUGAAACGUAUUUUAAAGCGUGUCUGCAUAAACCAGAGUUACUUGCUGGAGCUAAAAAUGCAAAUGGGUAUCGAAGGGGUGCAAUAUGUUUACGUUCCAACCCAUAGAAGUUAUUUGGACUUUAUACUUGUGUCAUACGCACUUUUUGCGAAUGAUAUGGCCAUACCAAACAUUGCUAGCGGCAUGGAUUUUUAUAAAAUGAGUGUAGUAGGAGAGUUAUUACGGAAAAGCGGAGCUUUUUAUAUGCGCCGCAGUUUCGCCACUGACCAGUUGUAUAAAGAAGUAUUUCGAGCCUACAUAUCUUGUCUGGUCGCCCAUAGUGAAAGGGCUAUAGAGUUUUUCAUUGAAGGUACACGUAGCAGAGGUCAGAAAAGUCUUGCACCAAAGUACGGUUUAUUGUCGAUGAUAUUAGAGGGAUUAUGGAAAGGUGAUGUGGCAGACAUUCGAUUUGUUCCUAUAAGUAUUACCUAUGAUCGACCAUUGGAAGAGUUGCUAUUUGCAUAUGAACUUCUGGGAGUACCUAAGCCCCCUGAAUCUACUAGAGGGCUUUUCAAGUCUUUGUCAAUUUUACAGGAGCCAUGUGCCUAUGGAAAUGUGUAUAUGAACGUAGCACCGCCUAUUUCAGCUCGUCAGUUUUUCGACCUCGAUACCUUAAGUAAAGGAUGCUUAUCUCCACAUUCCAAAAUACCAUCCAAGGUCCUUACAAAAUUGGCUUAUGCGAUCAUAGAUAGCCACAAGGAUCACACACCACUUGCACCAUUUAAUCUCAUAGCCCUGCUAUUCAAUGAAAGGGUACAUACACAUCCCAGAAGACCUUACAACCUUCAAACUUUAUUAACUGAUUAUCGUUGGCUCAAGGAGUUUUUUUCUCGUGCAAUGAAUUGUCUGAUAAAUCCAGGAACAAGUAGACCUGGAAGCUUACAAAUUGACGAAGAUGUAAAAAAUGAAGUAUUGGAAUCUCUGUUCAUACAUCGAGAGUUACUCCGUCUCGAUGCAAAUGGUGAAUUGAAGUUGAUAGAGAGGCACCAAAAUCAGCAAGCCUGUGAUCCCAAGAAAGUCAAGGGCCAUCCGCUUACCAAAGAGACUAUGCGUUUGGCUGUCUCAGCGAUCAAUAUAACAAUUUAUACAAAUCCAUCAAUGGCCUUUUUAAUCAAGCCAGCUUUUAUUGCAGUAUCUGUUAUUGAAUAUAGUAUUGCUAGAGGUUCAGUUUUUGCACGAUACAAACUUCUGAGGGAAUUGCUUUCUACCGAAUUCGCCUUUUGUUCAGGAGAUUCUUUAGCUAUAGCGGAAUGGGAAGAAGGCUUAGCACUUCUGGUAUCUGAGGAUUGCAUACGACUUGAAAAUAAUGUUCUGUUUAUGGGCAGUAAUACUAGACUCUUCUCUCUCUUGCAAAACCUUUUGUUGCCAUUUUUAGUCGCUUGCUAUGCCACGUGCGCUGUUCUUCACAAGUGGAACGAUGAAAUGGGUGAGGCAAGUGAACGAGCCAUUUUAAGGAACACGCAAAAAGAGGUGGAAUGGCAACUACUUCAAGGCAAUGAAAUGUUCAGGUAUCCUUAUGCCUUGAGUCUUGACCUGUAUGCCACAACUCUUGCCAGUUUAGUCUCUAUGGGGAUUGUUAGUUCGUCUGGAAGAUCACCUGAUACAACGUAUUCCUCAAACAAGAUACGUCUCCAUACAUUACUUGAAGAGCUAGAUAAUUUCAAAAUAAUUAGGCCUUCAGGAUCAUAUCUUGAUAUUGAUCUGUUGCCAGUUACUCCAGUUACUAUCAUCCCACAUGCAAAGUUGUGAUCUCGCCAUGUUGGUUGUAUUCUUUGUACAAUACGGAUAGGAUUGUUCUAUUCUUUUCAAAAUUUGAGUGUGGAAUGCAACUGAUGGUACCUACAGACGAAUUUCGAUGCUCAAUAUCCAGUCAAGAUUUAGAAAAUUGGACGUUUCAAAACUUGGCUAUCUUAAAAAUGUGCUGAUUUAUGGAUGACUAAUUGUGAGGAAUUUUUUUUCCUCCACUGGGUAUUGUCUCUAAUGUGAUAUGUCUCCAACCAAAAGAUAAUAAUCGAACGAGGAUGUCUUGAACUCUAUUGCAUCGAUUACACUAACGUUAUACCCAGUAAUUGCCUAUAAUCACUGAACUCUAUAAUACCACAGAAUAUUCUACCAGUCCUUAUUCUGUGAUAAUACUUAUACUGGAACGCUCGCGGACGUUUGUAGAAGAGAGAAACAGUGGAGUAGACGCACUUGUCUAAUGUUUUUUGGCAGUUUUAGGGGCGAUCAACACCAAAGACGAUAGUCUGUCAUCGCGAGAAAAUGCCAUUGCGAUUCGGUAUUGGUGGUCGUCAAAGCUUCUCGUAUGUACGUAGAUCCUUCUCCUCCGAAGCAGCGGCAGUUUGGCCGUAGCAUCUGAAGCGUCGUCACGUGUGGUCAGGAGCGACAUCGAUGGUAGCGCGUAGAUCCUUUAUAAAGAAGGAGAAAAAGCCAGAGAGCCGUGAGAGACGGAAAUAAAUACAUUGCGGCUUUCAAUCAGUCACUACGGCGGCUAAUUCGUCGCAGUACUCAUUCAACUUCCAACCACGAAAGGCAGGAGUUAUACAUGGCAUCGCACAAUUCGUUCACAGGUAUCCGAAGAUGCUGCCGCCGUAGCUGCUGUUUGACCGGACUCCCCCUGUUCAUCAGGGGGAGUCC